UACGUAGGGGGCAAGCGUUGUCCGGAUUUAUUGGGCGUAAAGAGCGUGUAGGCGGCCUGACAGGUCUGCUGUGAAAACUCGAGGCUCAACCUCGAGAUGUCGGCGGAAACCGUCUGGCUAGAGUCCGGAAGAGGAGAGUGGAAUUCCUGGUGUAGCGGUGAAAUGCGCAGAUAUCAGGAGGAACACCGGUGGCGAAGGCGGGUCUCUGGGCCGAUACUGACGCUGAGGAGCGAAAGCGUGGGGAGCGAACAG
rnacentral:rRNA from 1 species